rnacentral:rRNA from 1 species
UACGUAGGUGGCAAGCGUUGUCCGGAUUUACUGGGCGUAAAGCGCCCGCAGGCGGCUUGGUUAGUUCAAGGUGAAAUCUCCCGGCUUAACUGGGAGGGUGCCUCGAAAACUGCCAGGCUUGAGGCGAGGAGAGGGAUGCGGAAUUCCAGGUGUAGCGGUGAAAUGCGUAGAUAUCUGGAGGAACACCAGAGGCGAAGGCGGCCACCUGGACAGACACUGACACUGAGACGCGAAAGCGUGGGGAGCAAACAGG